ACAGCAGUCGCCGCGGUAAUACGUAGGUGGCAAGCGUUGUCCGGAAUUACUGGGCGUAAAGCGUGCGUAGGUGGUGGUUUAAGUCCGUUGUGAAAGCCCUGGGCUCAACCUGGGAAUUGCAGUGGAUACUGGGUCACUAGAGUGUGGUAGAGGAUAGUGGAAUUUCCGGUGUAGCAGUGAAAUGCGUAGAGAUCGGAAGGAACAUCUGUGGCGAAGGCGACUAUCUGGGCCAACACUGACACUGAGGCACGAAAGCGUGGGGAGCAAACAGGAUUAGAUACCCCGGUAGUCCCUGUCUCUUAUAC
rnacentral:rRNA from 1 species